rnacentral:lncRNA from 1 species
GCAGGCGCAAUGAGCGGCGGAAGUAGUUACUGGGAAGUAAGCAAGCGGCAGUUUCCCUUGGCGUAAGGCUCCUCCUCCCGCCGCGGGUUGCUCCUCUGCACGUGUGCCCGGGCCCCGCCCCACACCGCCAGUGCUUUGGCCGCUUGGGCGCCUCCUCCCGCGCAGAGAUGGCGCACGACCCCGCAGGUGAUUUUUGAAGAAUGAUCAAGAAUUCUUGCAAGACACUUAAGACUGUUUUACAGAGGAGUAUUGUAACCGAGAAUUUAUAAUAACAGCAUCUCAGACAUGUUGAAAAAGAUGUUUUGAUCCCUAAAAUUAUGAGAGAAAAGGCCCGAGAGAGGUGCUCUGAACAAGUUCAAG